GACGAACGUUGGCGGCGUGCUUAAUACAUGCAAGUCAACUGAAGCAGUGGUAGCAAUAUCGCUGUGGAGGUGGCGCACGGGUGAGUAACACGUAGGUAAUCUGCCUUCAGGUCUGGCAUAACUCCGGGAAACCGGGGCUAAUAGCAGAUGAUGCAGCGGCUCGACAUCGAGACAGUUGUUAAAGCUAUGGCGCCUGAAGAUGAGCCUGCGUCUGAUUAGCUAGUUGGCGGGGUAACGGCCCACCAAGGCAACGAUCAGUAGCUGGUCUGAGAGGAUGAUCAGCCACACUGGAACUGAGACACGGUCCAGACUCCUACGGGAGGCAGCAGUAAGGAAUAUUGCUCAAUGGGAGAAAUCCUGAAGCAGCAACGCCGCGUGAGGGACGAAGGGCUUUUGCUUGUAAACCUCCGUAGUGAGAGAAAAAAAUCCCAAUCUUUGGGACAUGAUGGUAUCUCAAAAGUAAGCCCCGGCUAACUACGUG
rnacentral:rRNA from 1 species